rnacentral:lncRNA from 13 species
AUGACUACUGUAUACAAAGAUAGUCAGUACGACCAAGAAUAUGACUUUUGCGAAGCGGAUCCUGUGUUCUGCCUUUCACCCAGGACAACGGAAUGGAUCCCAGCCUGCAACCCAAAACAAAGACGUCGUAAAAGGGGUAAACGAAGUGGUCUUCUGGUCAGGCUCCAGAGACGGGCACAUCGUGCACCACUCCCUAGCAUUCUUCUUGCCAAUGUCCAGUCUCUUGACAACAAGGUUGAUGAAAUCCGAGCAAGGGUAGCAUUCCAGAGGGACAUCAGAGACUGUAACGUUCUUUGCUUCACGGAAACAUGGCUCACUGGAGAGACGCUAUCAGAGUCGGUGCAGCCAACUGGUUUCUCCACGCAUCGCGCAGACAGAAACAAACAUCUUUCUGGUAAGAAGAGGGGCGGAGGUGUAUGCUUCAUGGUUAACGUGAUGUGGUGUGAUCAUAACAACAUACAGGUACUCAAGUCCUUCUGUUCACCUGAUUUAGAAUUCCUCGCAAUCAAAUGUCGACCGCAUUAUCUACCAAGGGAAUUCUCUUCGAUUAUAAUCACAGCCGUAUAUAUUCCCCCCCAAGCAGACACAUCGAUGGCUCUGAACAAACUUUAUUUGACUUUUUGCAAACUGGAAUCCAUUUAUCCGGAGGCUGCAUUCAUUGUAACUGGGGAUUUUAACAAGGCUAAUCUGAAAACAAGACUCCCUAAAUUUUAUCAGCAUAUCGAUUGCGCACCCAGGGCUGGAAAAACCUUGGAUCACUGCUAUUCUAACUUCCGUGAUGCAUAUAAGGCCCUGCCCCGCCCACCUUUCGGAAAAGCUGACCACGACUCCAUUUUGUUGAUCCCUGCCUACAGACAGAAACUAAAACAAGAAGCUCCCACGCUGAGGUCUGUUCAACGCUGGUCCGACCAAUCUGAUUCCACACUCCAAGACUGCUUCCAUCACGUGGACUGGGAUAUGUUUCGUAUUGCGUCAGACAACAACAUUGACGAAUACGCUGAUUCGGUGAGCGAGUUCAUUAGAAAGUGCGUUGAAGAUGUUGUUCCCAUAGCAACGAUUAAAACAUUCCCAAACCAGAAACCGUGGAUUGAUGGCAGCAUUCGCGUGAAACUGAAAGCCCGAACCACUGCUUUUAAUCAGGGCAAGGUGACCGGAAACAUGACCGAAUACAAACAGUGUAACUAUUCCCUCCGCAAGGCAAUCAAACAAGCUAAGCGUCAGUAUAGAGACAAAGUAGAAUCUCAAUUCAACGGCUCAGACACAAGAGGUAUGUGGCAGGGUCUACAGUCAAUCACGGAUUACAAAAAGAAAACCAGCCCAGUCACGGACCAGGAUGUCUUGCUCCCAGGCAGACUAAAUAACUUUUUUGCCCGCUUUGAGGACAAUACAGUGCCACUGACACGGCCCGCAACUAAAACAUGCGGACUCUCCUUCACUGCAGCCGACGGUAGGAAAACAUUUAAACGUGUCAACCCUCGCAAGGCUGCAGGCCCAGACGGCAUCCCCAGCCGCGCCCUCAGAGCAUGCGCAGACCAGCUGGCUGGUGUGUUUACGAACAUAUUCAAUCAAUCCCUAUCCCAGUCUGUUGUUCCCACAUGCUUCAAGAGGGCCACCAUUGUUCCUGUUCCCAAGAAAGCUAAGGUAACUGAGCUAAACGACUAUGAAGUGCUUUGA